rnacentral:rRNA from 1 species
AACAAACGCUGGCGGCGUGCCUAACACAUGCAAGUCGAACGGGGACAGCUUUCGGGUGAGUACUAGUGGCGCGCGGGUGAGGAACGCGUGGAUAAUCUACCUUAGUGUGGGGGAUAACGAGUCGUAAGGUAAGCUAAUACAGCAUAAGACCACAAAAGCUGCGGCUUUUGAGGUCAAGGGUUUUUCGCUCUGAGAGGAGUCCGCGUGAGAUUAGCUAGUUGGUGAGAUCGCGGCUCAGCAAGGCGACGAUCUUUAACUGGUCGGAGCGGAUGAGCAGUCACGCGGGAAACGAGACACGGCCGAGGCUCCUACGGGAGGCAGCGGUAGAGAAUGUUGCAGAAGGGAGGAGACUGUGAUGCAGCGACGCCGCGUGAGAGAUGAAGGCGUUGGGGUCGAAAAGCUCUGUCGCAGGGGAAUACCACAAUGACGGUACCCAGUAAAAAAGCACCGGCUAACUUCGUG